AUCGAUGCGGGUCGAUGUAUACCGUAGCAGUGAAAAGCGUAGAGAUGUGGAGGAAUACCGAUGGCGAAAGCAGGCCCCCUGGGUUAGUACUGACGCUCAUGCCGAAAGCGUGGGGAGCAAACAGGAUUAAGAUACCCUGGUAGUCCACGCCCAAACGAUUUGUCAACUAGGUGUUGGGAGGGUUAAACCUUUUAGUACCGCAGCUAACGCGUGAAGUUGACCGCCUGGGGAGUACGGCCGCAAGGUUAAAACUCAAAGGAAUUGACGGGGACCCGCACAAGCGGUGGAUGAUGUGGUUAAUUCGAUGCAACGCGAAAAACCUUACCUACCCUUGACAUGCUAGGAAUCUCGAAGAGAUUUGAGAGUGCCCGAAAGGGAGCCUAGACACAGGUGNNUGCAUGGCUGUCGUCAGCUCGUGUCGUGAGAUGUUGGGUUACGUAGNUGAGA
rnacentral:rRNA from 1 species